GCAUCCGUAGCUCAGUCGGUAGAGCAACUGACUCUUAAUCAGUGGGUCCACGGUUCGAGCCCGUGCGGGUGUACCA
rnacentral:tRNA from 3 species